rnacentral:rRNA from 1 species
AUUGAACGCUGGCGGCAGGCCUAACACAUGCAAGUCGAGCGGAUGAAGGUAGCUUGCUACCUGACUCAGCGGCGGACGGGUGAGUAAUGCCUAGGAAUCUGCCUGGUAGUGGGGGACAACGUUUCGAAAGGAGCGCUAAUACCGCAUACGUCCUACGGGAGAAAGUGGGGGAUCUUCGGACCUCACGCUAUCAGAUGAGCCUAGGUACGAUUAGCUAGUUGGUGAGGUAAAGGCUCACCAAGGCGACGAUCGUUAACUGGUCUGAGAGGAUGAUCAGUCACACUGGAACUGAGACACGGUCCAGACUCCUACGGGAGGCAGCAGUGGGGAAUGUUGGACAAUGGGCGAAAGCCUGAUCCAGCCAUGCCGCGUGUGUGAAGAAGGUCUUCGGAUUGUAAAGCACUCUAAGUUGGGAGGAAGGGCAGUAAGUUAAUACCUUGCUGUUUUGACGUUACCGACAGAAUAAGCACCGGCUAACUUCGUGCCAGCCGCCGCGGUAAAAC